UAGGGAAUCUUCGGCAAUGGGGGCAACCCUGACCGAGCAACGCCGCGUGAGUGAAGAAGGUUUUCGGAUCGUAAAGCUCUGUUGUAAGAGAAGAACGUGUGUGAGAGUGGAAAGUUCACACAGUGACGGUAACUUACCAGAAAGGGACGGCUAACUACGUGCCAGCAGCCGCGGUAAUACGUAGGUCCCGAGCGUUGUCCGGAUUUAUUGGGCGUAAAGCGAGCGCAGGCGGUUUAAUAAGUCUGAAGUUAAAGGCAGUGGCUUAACCAUUGUUCGCUUUGGAAACUGUUAAACUUGAGUGCAGAAGGGGAGAGUGGAAUUCCAUGUGUAGCGGUGAAAUGCGUAGAUAUAUGGAGGAACACCGGUGGCGAAAGCGGCUCUCUGGUCUGUAACUGACGCUGAGGCUCGAAGGCGUGGGGAGCAAACAGG
rnacentral:rRNA from 1 species